AAAAUGAAGAAGAUUCAGAAGAGUAAUGUAAACGCGUACUUUUAGAGAGCUGAUGGUGCUGUGAAUCAGUAGUAAGCUUACAUGAAUGGACUGAUGGUAAAAAAGAAUAAUCUUUACAUGAACCGUGUAAAUUUUUAUAUAGUGGUAAGAGAUGGUAGACUAGUUCUAUCAAUUGAGGUGGUACCGCGUAUUGACAACGCCCUCACG
rnacentral:ncRNA from 1 species